UUUGAAGCUCUGAAGGACUGCGCGGCCUCAGCUCUAACGAGGCUGCGACGUACGUGAGGCGCCUUAGCACGGUAUCGUGCACGGUAAGUCUGGGCCGCAAGCUUAGGGUUUUAACUGCUGUUCGCGCUUAAAUGCAACCAUUAGUCGUUGGAAUCCGCAUGUUUAACCGUGUCAUCUGUACUUGUGCAGGGUCUCCUCUCCGCAGAGUUUGUGUUUGAAGCUCUGAAGGACUGCGCGGCCUCAGCUCUAACGAGGCUGCGACGUACGUGAGGCGCCUUAGCACGGUAUCGUGCACGGUAAGUCUGGGCCGCAAGCUUAGGGUUUUAACUGCUGUUCGCGCUUAAAUGCAACCGUUAGUCGUUGGAAUCCGCAUGUUUAACCGUGUCAUCUUUACUUGUGCAGGGUCUCCUCUCCGCAGAGUUUGUGUUUGAAGCUCUGAAGGACUGCGCGGCCUCAGCUCUAACGAGGCUGCGACGUACGUGAGGCGCCUUAGCACGGUAUCGUGCACGGGGGGCAUGGCCUGGCAUGAUGCGGUUCGGGGGACAUGGUCUGGCAUAAUGCGGUUCGGGCGGCAUGGCCUGGCAUAAUGCGGUUUGGGGGGCAUGGCCUGGCAUGAUGCGGUUCGGGGGGCAUGGCCUGGCAUGAUGCGG
rnacentral:lncRNA from 1 species